UACGUAGGUGGCAAGAGUUAUCCGGAAUUAUUGGGCGUAAAGCGCGCGCAGGUGGUUUCUUAAGUCUGAUGUGAAAGCCCACGGCUCAACCGUGGAGGGUCAUUGGAAACUGGGAGACUUGAGUGCAGAAGAGGAAAGUGGAAUUCCAUGUGUAGCGGUGAAAUGCGUAGAGAUAUGGAGGAACACCAGUGGCGAAGGCGACUUUCGGGUCUGUAACUGACCCUGAGGCGCGAAAGCGUGGGGAGCAAACAGG
rnacentral:rRNA from 1 species